rnacentral:snRNA from 1 species
GAAAGAUAUGUCUGAGAGAUCCA